CCAACUCAGAGGAGCCAUGGGAUAAGAAAAGAGGAGCAUUUAUCUUGGAUGAUUGAGUGGAGGAAAUACAUAGGCUAAAACCUAAAUGAUACAUAAAAGCCAGGAGUCACCAGUCCAAGAAGCCCUGCUAGUAACCAGUGAUCCAGUCCAUCCCAUGCAGACCCGAGAGCAGGACCUCAACUUCCUGGGCAGAUGGAGAAAGGCAUAAAGAAAGGCAAAAUAUCUGAAAGACUGAGCAUUUUUACCACAAAAGAGUAUGCACUACCUAAAAAGAAUAUUUGAAACGAUUUCCGGGAAAUCUGUUUGUGGGAGAACUGUGAGGCCGGUCUAAAGCUGAGAUGUCAAUCAGAGGCAGCAGUGUAGGGGAGAAGCCAGAUGGCUCACUGCUGCUCUUCACAUUGGAAGAAUGACAAGUAAAACCCAAGGAAGAACAUUUAAAACUUCAUGACAUGAACAGGGUGCAAAGAUUACCUUUCUUUCAGUUGCAGCAUGAAAUUCAAGUUUACUGAGGGUCCUGAUAAUGAAAGAAAGCACUCUUAGAAAGAUAAAUCCAAAGGCAAUGUUUCUUCUAAUGUUAAUAAAUCUCAUACAUUCAAUGAAACAGACAGGCUUUAAUAGUUCUGUAUGACUUAACCUCUCAAUCAAUAUAAAGAAAUUUGAUAAGCCUGGGUAAAAAGAAUUUAAU
rnacentral:lncRNA from 1 species